rnacentral:rRNA from 1 species
UACGGGGGGGGCAGGCGUUGUUCGGAAUUACGGGGCGUAAAGGGCUCGUAGGCGGCCAACUAAGUCGGACGUGAAAUCCCUCGGCUUAACCGGGGAACUGCGUCUGAUACUGGAUGGCUUGAAUCCGGGAGAGGGAUGCGGAAUUCCAGGUGUAGCGGUGAAAUGCGUAGAUAUCUGGAGGAACACCGGUGGCGAAGGCGGCAUCCUGGACCGGCAUUGACGCUGAGGAGCGAAAGCCAGGGGAGCAAACGGG